GAGAAGAACGCAGCGAAAUGCGAUAAGUAAUGUGAAUUGCAGAAUUCAGUGAAUCAUCGAAUCUUUGAACGCACAUUGCGCCCGCCAGUAUUCUGGCGGGCAUGCCUGUUCGAGCGUCAUUUCAACCAUCAAGCCCCGGGCUUGUGUUGGGGACCUGCGGCUGCCGCAGGCCCUGAAAUGCAGUGGCGGGCUCGCUGUCACUCCGAGCGUAGUAGUUACAUCUCGCUCUGGGCGUGCUGCGGGUUCCGGCCGUUAAAAGCCUUAUUUACCCAAGGUUGACCUCGGAUCAGGUAGGAAGACCCGCUGAACUUAAGCAUAUCAAUAAGCGGAGGA
rnacentral:misc_RNA from 1 species